rnacentral:rRNA from 1 species
ACUUGAACAGGCUGUUGCUGGUCACCCUAGGGGGGCAUGUGCACGCUUGUCAUCUUUAUUUCUCCAACUGUGCACACACUGUAGACCUGGAGGGUUUUUGAUUCAUUCGAGUUGGCACUGCAGCGCUUAAAUUAACAUAGUCUGCUUUGCCUUUGCCUUUUCAGGUCUACGUCCUUUUACAAUCUCAAAUAUGUUUAGAAUGAUAAUAAAGUUUAAAUAUAACAACUUUCAGCAACGGAUCUCUUGGCUCUCGCAUCGAUGAAGAACGCAGCGAAAUGCGAUAAGUAAUGUGAAUUGCAGAAUUCAGUGAAUCAUCGAAUCUUUGAACGCAUCUUGCGCUCCUUGGUAUUCUGAGGAGCAUGCCUGUUUGAGUGUCAUUUCAAGUUCUCAACCGCAUCAAUUUCUUCUGAUUGGUGUGGCUUGAAUGUUGGGGGUUUUAUUUUGCAGGCUUCUUCUUUCUAGGAGGAAAUCGGCUCCCCUGAAAUAGAUUAGUAGUAUAUCUGUCUGAGCCUACUACAAAGGUGUGAUAAAUUAUCUAUGCCUUUUCAUAGUAUGGACGACUGCUUCUAACAAGUGGAAACACCUUUUAUGACAAAUUUGACCUCAAAUCAGGUAGGACUACCCACUGAACUUA